UGGGGGAUAUUGCACAAUGGGCGAAAGCCUGAUGCAGCGACGCCGCGUGAGGGAAGACGGUCUUCGGAUUGUAAACCUCUGUCUUAGGGGAAGAAAAUGACGGUACCCUAAGAGGAAGCUCCGGCUAACUACGUGCCAGCAGCCGCGGUAAUACGUAGGGAGCGAGCGUUGUCCGGAAUUACUGGGUGUAAAGGGAGCGUAGGCGGGAUGGUAAGUAAAAUGUUAAAACGAUCGGCUUAACCGGUCAGUGCGUUUUAAACUGCCGUUCUUGAGUGAAGUAGAGGCAGGCGGAAUUCCUAGUGUAGCGGUGAAAUGCGCAGAUAUUAGGAGGAACACCAGUGGCGAAGGCGGCCUGCUGGGCUUUAACUGACGCUGAGGCUCGAAAGCGUGGGGAGCAAACAGG
rnacentral:rRNA from 1 species